rnacentral:rRNA from 1 species
GACGAACGCUGGCGGCGUGCUUAACACAUGCAAGUCGAACGGAAAGGCCCUGCUUUUGUGGGGUGCUCGAGUGGCGAACGGGUGAGUAACACGUGAGUAACCUGCCCUUGACUUUGGGAUAACUUCAGGAAACUGGGGCUAAUACCGGAUAGGAGCUCCUGCUGCAUGGUGGGGGUUGGAAAGUUUCGGCGGUUGGGGAUGGACUCGCGGCUUAUCAGCUUGUUGGUGGGGUAGUGGCUUACCAAGGCUUUGACGGGUAGCCGGCCUGAGAGGGUGACCGGCCACAUUGGGACUGAGAUACGGCCCAGACUCCUACGGGAGGCAGCAGUGGGGAAUAUUGCACAAUGGGCGGAAGCCUGAUGCAGCAACGCCGCGUGCGGGAUGACGGCCCUCGGGUUGUAAACCGCUUUCGCCUGUGACGAAGCGUGAGUGACGGUAAUGGGGAAAGAAGCACCGGCGAACUACGU